rnacentral:snRNA from 1 species
GGAUGUGAGGGCGAUCUGACUUUGACAUGUCACCCCAUUGAUUGCCAGGGUUGAUUCAGCUCAUCUGGAUGGCUAGGCAGGUGUCCCCCUCCUCCCUCAGCACUCCAUGUAUGUCUCUCCCAAAGCUGUGUGCUCCCCAAAUAGAGGAGGACCGGUCUUUGGUCAAGGAUAUACAAGUAGCAGGGCUCCCCUGCUAGAACCUCCAACAAAAAGACUUUGCUCUUGAAAAACAAAACAAAACUAAGCAAAACAACAAAAAAAUUGACUU